rnacentral:rRNA from 1 species
ACGCAAUAGAUACCCAGGUAGUCCAUGCCGUAAACGUUGGGAACUAGGUGUGGGUCUCAUUCCACGAGAUCCGUGCCGCAGCUAACGCAUUAAGUUCCCCGCCUGGGGAGUACGGCCGCAAGGCUAAAACUCAAAGGAAUUGACGGAGGCCCGCACAAGCGGCGGAGCAUGCGGAUUAAUUCGAUGCAACGCGAAGAACCUUACCAAGGCUUGACAUAUGCGAGAACGCGGCAGAGAUGUCGUUCUCUUUGGACACUCGCAUACAGGUGGUGCAUGGUUGUCGUCAGCUCGUGUCGUGAGAUGUUUGGGUUUAAGUCCCGCAACGAGCGCAACCCUCGUUCUAUGUUGCCAGCACGUGAUGGUGGGGACUCAUAGGAGACUGCCGGGGUCAACUCGGAGGAAGGUGGGGAUGACGUCAAAUCAUCAUGCCCCGUUAUGUCUUGGGCUUCACGCAUGCUACAAUGGCCGGUACAAACGGGCUGCGAAACCGCGAGGUGGAGCGAAUCCCAAAAAA